AGAGUUUGAUCCUGGCUCAGGACGAACGCUGGCGGCGUGCUUAACACAUGCAAGUCGAACGGAAAGGCCCUGCUUUUGUGGGGUGCUCGAGUGGCGAACGGGUGAGUAACACGUGAGUAACCUGCCCUUGACUUUGGGAUAACUUCAGGAAACUGGGGCUAAUACCGGAUAGGAGCUCCUGCUGCAUGGUGGGGGUUGGAAAGUUUCGGCGGUUGGGGAUGGACUCGCGGCUUAUCAGCUUGUUGGUGGGGUAGUGGCUUACCAAGGCUUUGACGGGUAGCCGGCCUGAGAGGGUGACCGGCCACAUUGGGACUGAGAUACGGCCCAGACUCCUACGGGAGGCAGCAGUGGGGAAUAUUGCACAAUGGGCGGAAGCCUGAUGCAGCAACGCCGCGUGCGGGAUGACGGCCUUCGGGUUGUAAACCGCUUUCGCCUGUGACGAAGCGUGAGUGACGGUAAUGGGUAAAGAAGCACCGGCUAACUACGUGCCAGCAGCCGCGGUGAUACGUAGGGUGCGAGCGUUGUCCGGAUUUAUUGGGCGUAAAGGGCUCGUAGUGGUUGAUCGCGUCGGAAGUGUAAUCUUGGGGCUUAACCCUGAGCGUGCUUUCGAUACGGGUUGACUUGAGGAAGGUAGGGGAGAAUGGAAUUCCUGGUGGAGCGGUGGAAUGCGCAGAUAUCAGAGGAACACCAGUGGCGAAGCGGUUCUCUGGGCCUUUCCUGACGCUGAGGAGCGAAAGCGUGAGGAGCGAACAGGCUUAGAUACCCUGGUAGUCACGCUGUAAACGGUGGGUACUAGGUGUGGGGUCCAUUUCCACGGGUUCCGUGCCGUAGCUAACGCUUUAAGUACCCCGCCUGGGGAGUACGGCCGCAAGGCUAAAACUCAAAGGAAUUGACGGGGCCCCGCACGAGCGGCGGAGCAUGCGGAUUAAUUCGAUGCAACGCGUAGAACCUUACCUGGGUUUGACAUGGAUCGGGAGCGCUCAGAGAUGGGUGUGCCUCUUUUGGGGUCGGUUCACAGGUGGUGCAUGGCUGUCGUCAGCUCGUGUCGUGAGAUGUUGGGUUAAGUCCCGCAACGAGCGCAACCCUUGUUCACUGUUGCCAGCACGUUAUGGUGGGGACUCAGUGGAGACCGCCGGGGUCAACUCGGAGGAAGGUGGGGAUGACGUCAGGUCAUCAUGCCCCUUAUGUCCAGGGCUUCACGCAUGCUACAAUGGCUGGUACAGAGAGUGGCGAGCCUGUGAGGGUGAGCGAAUCUCGGAAAGCCGGCCUCAGUUCGGAUUGGGGUCUGCAACUCGACCUCAUGAAGUCGGAGACGCUAGUAAUCGCAGAUCAGCAACGCUGCGGUGAAUACGUUCCCGGGGCUUGUACACACCGCCCGUCAAGUCAUGAAAGUUGGUAACACCCGAAGCCGGUGGCCUAACCGUUGUGGGGGAGCCGUCGAAGGUGGGACUGGUGAUUAGGACUAAGUCGUAACAAGGUAGCCGUACCGGAAGGUGCGGCUGGAUCACCUCCU
rnacentral:rRNA from 1 species